AGAAAGUAGAAGAAUAACUUCUGUUGCCAGCUCAUGUGUGCAGAGUGGCUCUGUGUCAAAGUCCACACUUUCCACACUCUGGGGGAGUAUCUCCCAGGGCAGAACUUAAACAGCAGCUACUGGUAUGGCAGCAAGACCAUAUCUGACACUGGUCCUAGAGCUGCAUAUCCAUGAAUGUCCUCAGCAUGCACUGGAUGUUCCAAAUUAUCUUCCACCUCUGCAACACCAGAUGAACUGAACUGCUCACAGAUUGGACUGCUGACAUAAACCAUCAAUUUAACACCUGGGACAGUCCAAUCCUUAUCUUCGUGUUUCCACUAAGGUGAAUUCAACCACUGCACUUCAAUCAACUUCAGCAUGAGCCUGAUUAACUCAGAGCAUUGGCGGUCUGCACUAAACAACCCAUCAUCUGGCAGUCACUCACAGGGCAUGGGCAGAUGGCAUAGGAUCUGUGAAAGACCUCUGCAGAAGCUAGAAACCGAGAAGAAUACUUAUGGCAUCUCAGACUGCACUAAACAACUACAUGGGGCAUCUGAGUUGAGCACUCAAUCUUCUGAAGUCAAAGAAGGGAGGUCUGCACUUCCCUACAACACUCAGUCUUUCCUAAAGCACGCUUUUAACAUGAUUUGGUUUACAUUCAGGUAUCCUAUGGAGAUGCCUCCAUACUCCCAGUAGCCCUUUACAGAGCUUG
ensembl:lncRNA